rnacentral:lncRNA from 1 species
GGGUACUCCUUACGCCCUAUCUAAACCUUCACGCUACAGCCUAACAGUUUACCAAACACACCACUCAAUAACCACACUCUAUCAGUUUACACAUUCUCAAUAACAACUCAAUAUUCAACAGUCACAAGCUUCACAGAGAAACAAUCACAAGAUCAGCAAAACACAUGUUCAAGUUCAUCAAUAAUAAAAAUGUGCAAUGCCAUGAGAUGCAAUGUCAAAUAUCGUGAUGCAUGUCUUUCCUAACGAUACACACCCGCUGUCUCUCAGGCCGGGACCCAUGGGGGACAUAUCUUUCCAUGCAUCUGUCGCGGCGCACGACACGACCCUCGAUAAAAUAGUAACCUUCGCGGCGCGCGAUACGUCCCUCGAAAUAUAAUAUCCAUCGCGGCGAGCGAUACGACCCUCGAAAAUAGUACAUCAUCCUCUUACCACAACCAUGUCUCAGAUACAAUGCAAAUGACAUGCUCAAAUGAAAAGGAGGGGAUAACCAUUUGAUAACAAAGCACAAUUUACAACAAGAAAUACAACACCAAAAAUUAAACAACAAGUCUCCAAAUCAUUCUCAACAUCACACAAGGAAAUACACGAAUUUCGUACGCUUAACAAGAGUUUAGAAAUCCACUUGCCUUAACCAAUCGAAUAAUCACUCUGGGACUUGAGCCUUUCCUUUCUGUUGACCUUCCAAAUUGAUGCAAUCUAUUCAAGUAUAUAUUCAUAAUAAGUUUCGAAACUAACAACACCCACAUUACUAUAGGUUAAGCCUAGACUCAAAAGCUCACACCAUCCUAUAAUCAAUUUCCUAAAGUUUAAAUCUAUGGGUAAGUCCCAAUUCUUCCCAUUAGCAUAUCCUUAAGGAAAUUUAAAUCAUUCGAUACACCAAAUAACUAAUUACCUAUUUUAAUAUAUCAAAAUAUAAUUUAUAACGUGAGAACUAGAUAUUUUAAUAUAUUAGGGUGGAAGUCAUUGGUCACAAAACCAACAGCAUACGGACUAACAACCACCCUACUACACGUGAUAUGCAGAGACAUGCCAUCAUUCUGUAUCCUUGUUUCCUACUAAUAUUAGCACUAGAUUUUUAUAUUAAUUCUUAGGAAAUCAAUAGGUACUUAGUAAUGUUAGCCUUUAUCCCUCAUACUUCAAAGAAUUAUAUGUAUUAUGUACCCAUAUUCUUCUAGAACAACCAACUAUACAAUUUAUCCAUUCUAUGUACUUUAUGCUAUAACAAUAUUAUAUUUUUUUCUAAAUUAGAUAGUAACUCACAAGGAAGUGUAUCAAUAAAGAUCACCGUUUUAUUUUGUCGUCGUCGCUCCCACUUUGUUCUUCUCUUCUCCUCUUUUCUUUUCUUCUAUAAAUGAUUUUAACCCUAAUAAUUUAUUUUCUUAUAUAUAGUCAAGUGGUAUUAAAUAAAUUAAAACCUGAUCCAUUAAUCUUUAACAAAAAUUAACUAUUUAAUAAUUAACUUUUAAUUAAUUUACUCUAGUUAAAUAAAUAUUUGAAAUUUUCAAAAAUGACCAUCUGGAUCAUUACAUUAUCCACCACUAAAAAUCAUGUUCGUCCUCGAACAUAAAGUAAAAGAAAGUACCUGAUGCUUCAAAAAGUUGAGGAUAUCUGGCACGCAUGUCAGACUCUGUCUCCCAAGUUGACUCUCCCACUGAUCGGUGUUUCCAUUGCACCUUCACUGAAGCAAUCUCUUUGGUCCUAAGAUUUCGAAUUUGCCUAUCCAAAAUAGCUAUAGGCUCCUCCUCAAAUGUCAAAUCUGGACCCAGCUCCACAAAAUCGAGUGAAAUCACAUGAGAUUCAUCCGGAAUAUACUUCCGAAGCAUAGAGACAUGGAAAACAGGAUGAACCGCCGACAAACUAGGUGGCAAGGCCAACUUAUAGGCCACCUCUCCCACUCGGCUCAAAAUCUCAAAAGGUCCAAUGAACCUAGGGCUAAGCUUGCCCUUCUUUCCAAACCUCAUCACACCCUUCAUGGGUGAUACCCGAAGCCAAACAUAAUCACCCUCCAUAAACACCAAGGCUCUAACUCUCCGGUCUGCAUAACUCUUUUGUCGACUCUGAGCUGUCAAUAAUCUAUACUGAAUCAUACGAACUUGCUCCAUAGCAUCUCUAAGCAAGUCUGUAUCCAAAGAGUCCAUCUCCGCCGAAUCAAACCAACCAAUAGGAUAUCUACACCGUCUACCAUACAAUGCCUCAAAUGGGGCCAUUUGGAUACUAGAGUGAUAACUGUUAUUAUAGGCAAACUCCGCUAAGGGUAAAUGUCGAUCCCAUCUUGCACCAAAAUCGAUCACACACGCUCGAAGCAUAUCUUCCAAUACCUGAAUGGUCCGCUCAGAUUGACCAUCUGUCUGAGGGUGAAAUGCCGUACUCAUAUCUAACUGAGUACCCAGACCAUGUUGUAAUGCCUUCCAGAAGUGAGAAGUAAAUAGUGAACCUCGAUCUGAUAUGAUAGAAAGAGGAACUCCAUGUAGUCGCACAAUCUGACUGAUAUAUAGUUUGGCUAACUUUUCUGCUGUAUACUUUACCCGAACCGGGAUGAAGUGGGCAGACUUGGUCAGCCUAUCAACAACAACCCAAAUAGAGUCAUAACCACCCACUGUGGUAGGCAAACCCACAACAAGGUCCAUAGUAAUCUGCUCCCACUUCCAAGUAGGAAUAGGCAUCCUCUGAGAUACACCCUCGGGUCGCUGGUGCUCACAUUUGACCUGCUGGCAAGUCAAACACCUAGAAACAAAGUCUGAAAUAUCUCUCUUCAACCCACACCACCAGUAAUGCUGACUCAGAUCAUGAUACAUCUUCGCCGCUCCCGGAUGGAUGGAAUACCGAGUACAAUGGGCCUCCUCAAGAAUCAAUCUAAUCAAAUUGCCUAUCCUGGGCACACAAAUUCUACCUCCGAUCUGCAAGACACCAUCAGAAUCAAGGACAGCCUCCUUAGCUUCCCCUCUCAAUACUUUUUCUCGAAUGAGACAUAAUUUUUCAUCAUCAAAUUGGUGUGCACGAAUUUGCUCGACUAAAGAAGACCGAGCCUCAAUAAAAGCAAUCAUCUCAUCACUCUCUUCUGAAAUCUGCAAGCGGACAAGACUGUUAGCUAAUAUCUGCACAUCUCUAGCCAAUGGUCUCUCUCAUAAUACUAAGUGCUGCAAGACUCCCCAUGCUAGGAGUCUUCCUACUCAGAGCAUCGGCCACAACAUUGGCCUUUCAUGGAUGAUACAGAAUGGUCACAUCAUAGUUCUUCAACAACUCAAGCCAUCUCCGUUGCCUCAAGUUCAAAUCCCUCUGGCUAAAGAUAUAUUGAAGACUCCGAUGAUCAGUGAAGAUCUCACACAAUGCACCCCAUACAAAUAAUGACGCCAUAACUUAAGUACAAAUACCACAGCCGCCAACUCCAAAUCAUGAGUAGGGUAGUUUUUCUCAUGGGAUUUCAAUUGCCUAGAAGCAUAAGCAAUCACUUUCCCCUUCUGCAUCAACACACCACCCAAACCAACUCCUGAAACAUCACAAUACACAGUAAAGUCUACACCUUCCUCAGGUAGAGUCAACACAGGAGCAGAAGUCAACAAAGUCUUGAGCUUUUGAAAGCUGUCCUCACACUCAUUAGACCACUGAAAACUCACAUCCUGUCGAGUCAAUCUAGUCAAUGGAGCUGCAAUAGUAGAGAAACUCUGAACAAAUCAUCGAUAAUAGCCUGCCAAUCCCACAAAACUCCUAAUCUCAGUAGGUGAAGUAGGUCGCGUCCAGCCUCUAACUGCCUCAAUCUUGGCCGGAUCUACUCUAAUACCCUCCUUGGACACCACGUGUCCCAAGAAUAUCACAGAAGUAAGCCAGAACUCACACUUUGAGAACUUGGCAUACAACUUCUCUUCUCUCAACCUCUGAAGUACAAUCCUCAGGUGUCGGACAUGGUCCUCCUCAGUCUUAGAGUAAAUCAAGAUGUCAUCGAUGAAAACAAUCACAAAAGAAUCAAGGUAUGGUCGAAACACCCCAUUCAUCAACUCCAUGAAUGCUGCAGGGGCAUUAGUCAAUCCGAAGGACAUCACUAAAAACUCAUAAUGCCCAUACCGGGUCCGAAAAGCUUUCUUAGGGAUAUGUGAUGCCCUAAUCUUCAACUGACGAUACCCAGACCUCAAAUCAAUCUUAGAGAACAAUGAUGCUCCCUGUAACUGAUCAAAUAAGUCAUCAAUACGCGGAAGAGGAUACUUAUUCUUAACUGUUACCUUGUUCAACUGUCUGUAAUCAAUACACAUUCUCAUAGUCCCAUCCUUUUUCUUCACAAACAAUACAGGGGCACCCCAAGGUGAUACACUAGGGCGAAUUAAACCCUUACUCAAUAAAUCUUGCAACUGAUCCUUCAAUUCUUUCAACUCUGCUGGGCCAUACGAUAUGGAGGUAUAGAAAUAGGCUUAGUGCCCGGCUCCAAAUCAAUAGCGAAAUCAAUAUCCCUAUCGGGAUGAACACCUGGAAGAUCAGAAGGAAAUACAUCGAGAAAAACUCCUGAACCACGGGAACAGAGUCCAUGGAAGGUGGUUCAACACUAGUAUCCCGAAUAAACGCUAAGUAAGACAAACACCCCCUCUCCACCAAUUUCUGAGCACGGAUAAAAGAGAUGACCUUGCUAGGAUAAGAACCACUAGCACUCUUCCACUCAACCUUCGGAAUACCAGGCAUUGCUAAAGUCACAAUCUUAGCAUUACAAUCAAGGACAGCAUGAUAAGGAGAAAGCCAAUCCAUACCCAAGAUAACAUCAAAGUCUACCAUCCCCAGAAUGAUUAAGUCUACCCAAGUGUCAUACCCAGCCAAUGAAAUAAGACAGGAUCGAUAUACUCGAUCCACCACUAAGGGCUUACCCAUAGGUGUAGAAACACGAAUAGGUACAGUCAUGCUAUCACAUAUUAUAUCAAAUUUAGCAGCAAAAUAUGUAGACACAUAAAAGAAUGUAGAACCUGGAUCAAACAACACAGACGCAGGUCGAUGGCAUACUGGGAUGAUACCUGUAAUAACAGCAUUGGAGGUCUCCGCCUCAGGUCUCCCGGGAAAGCAUAGCAGUGGCCUCCUCGUCCACUUCCAUCGUGGGUGGUACCUCUACCCCCACUCUGCUGAGCUGCAACACCACUACUAGAAACUCUAUCACCUCUACCUGACUGAACUCUGCCACGACCUCUACCCUGUGGUGCUGGUGGUCUAAUCUGGAAUGAAAAAUUAGGUCGAGACCCACCACGACCCCUUUGUGAAGUACACUGCCGCAUUAGAUGAUCGGGAUCUCCACAAGUAAAACAAAAUUUCUGACCUGGAAACUGUUGUGUGGACCCUAAAACCCACUAUAAUUUCCUCGCCCUGUAGGUCGCUGCUGUGAACCGUACGAGCUCUGACGCGGGAUAUAAGAACCCCUAGAUGUCUGGCCACCCUAAAAUGUCGGCAUAGAUGCAUGAAUAGGUCCUCGCUGCUGAAAAGAACCACUCACUCUCUGUGAUCCCCUACCUCCAGAUGAGGCACCAUGAAAUUGGCCUGAUAUACGGGCCCUUUUAGGGUCCCCAAACUCCUCUCUCUCCAUCAAUUCUGCCUCUUUGGUGGCGCUCACAAUGGACUAGAAAGAAGCCCCCUCCCUAGAUGCCCGAAACACAGCUGACCUGAUAUACAAAUUCAAUCCCCUCACAAAUCUACGGAUCCUCUCUGUCUCAUUUGGAAUAAUGGCCAAUGCAUGCCUAGACAACUGGAAAAAACGCGCCUCAUACUCUGUAACCGUUAAACCAUCCUGUCUCAGACUCUCAAACCUCAAGCGACUCUCCUCUCUCACGCUCCAUCGGAUAAAACGAUCUUGGAAUGCGCUAGCAAACUGCUCCCAAGUCACUGGAGGAGAUCCAACUGGCAAACAUCCCGAAUAAGUCCUCCACCAAUCCCUCGCUGGUCCACGAAGCUGGAGUGUAGCAUAUCGAACCCCAUGUGACUCAGCUAAUCCAACCACCUCUAGUAACUCUCGGCAGGUAGUUAGAAACUCAUGAGCGUCCUCGCUCUUCCCACCCUGAAACUGAGGUGGGUCCAUCUUUCGAAAUCUCUCAUACCUACGCUGCUCAUCCUCUGUCAGAACAACCAUCGAUGCAACUUGACCCCAACUGCUGGUGCAACAUCAUUCUGAACCGCGGGAUCUACUGGUAGUUGCCCCACCGCAUCCUGAACAACUGGAGCUUGUUGCUGCUCUUGCGUCUGAGCCCCCUCUCUAGUACGAGAGUCAUGUGGUGUGGUAGUUGCACCACCACCCUGAGAAAAUCCCUCUAGCACACUUAACACCCUCAAUAGCGUAUCCUGAAGCAAAGGUGUGACUACGGGAUCUGGAGGAACCUGGUCCUCUCUGUCAUCAAUCUGUGGUUCGGUAGAGACCUCUCUAGCACGACCUCUCACUGGUGCUGCUCCACGUCCACGACCUCUGGUUACUGUCGCACUACUAGCACGACCUCUAGCUCGAGAUCUACCCCUACCUCUAGCUGGAGCCUCAACAACUGCCUCGGGAAGUGCCUCCCCUCUACCACCAAUAAUAUUAGUUCUAGUCCACGUCAACUGUCAAAAGAGUAUACAACAACUCAGUACUAACGAAGGUAACUACGCACGAUGAGAAAGAAUGAACAAAAGAAAGUUUCCUAUUAAUCUUUAUAGCCUCUCAGAGAUGAGUACAGACGUCUCCGUACUGAUCUUGAGACUCUACGUAGACUCGGCUUGUAUACACGUGAGACCUAUGAACCUGGGGCUCUGAUACCAUUUUGUCAUGACCCAAAAAUGGACGUGAUGGCACUCGUCUUAUCCCACCAAGACAAGUCAGCCUAAAAUCCAAUAUCUAACAAAGUGCGGAAGUAAAUGACAAUCCAAUAACAAUUUCUAUUAUGAAACCAGUCAUAUUAAUUCAAUUCCCAAAACCAGGUUGUCACGUGCACAAGCCUCUAAUGUAAAUAUUAGAAUUUUAAAUAAAAUAGAAGUCUAACAUGAAGUUGUUUUUCAAGUAAAAACAAAGUCAUAAACUGGAGUAGGAAAGUUCGUUGAGAUGACAAACAGCUACCUCACAAUCCUCCACAAGAUGCCUCGAAACGAAGAGAAUGGAAGGUAUCACAAAAUUCGGGCUCGUGACCUACAAAAAUUUGUAGAAGCAAGGGGUGAGUACCAAACCACGCGGUACCCAACCAGCAAACCUCUAAACACAAGUUAAGUGAACAAAAUACGGGUACUCCUUACGCCCUAUCUAAACCUCCACGCUACAGCCUAACAGUUUACCAAACACACCACUCAAUAACCACACUCUAUCAGUUUACACAUUCUCAAUAACAACUCAAUAUUCAACAGUCACAAGCUUCACAGAGAAACAAUCACAAGAUCAGGAAAACACAUGUUCAAGUUCAUCAAUAAUAAAAAUGUGCAAUUCCAUGAGAUGCAAUGUCAAAUAUCGUGAUGCGUGUCUUUCCUAACGAUACACACCCGCUGUCUCUCAGGCCGGGACCCAUGGGGGACAUAUCUGUCCAUGCAUCUGUCGCAGUGCACGACACGACCCUCGAUAAAAUAGUAACCUUCGCGGCGCGCGAUACGUCCCUCGAAAUAUAAUAUCCAUCGUGGCGCGCGAUACGACCCU